rnacentral:rRNA from 1 species
UCAAGCUAGCAAGGGCACAUGGUGGAUGCCUUGGCACUGAGAGGCGAUGAAGGACGUGGAAGGCUGCGAUAAGCCGGGUUGAGCCGCCAAACAGGCUUUGAAACCCGGAUUUCCGAAUGGGGAAACCCGGCUGGGGUCAUGCCCAGUCACCCGAAAGGGAGCGAACCAGGGGAACUGAAAUAUCUAAGUACCCUGAGGAAAAGAAAGAAAUCUCGACUCCCUCAGUAGCGACGAGCGAACGGGGAAUAGCCCAAACCUGUCGAUUGUAAGGCCGGGCCGUUUUUCGACAGGGGUUGUAGGGCCGU